UACGAAGGGGGCUAGCGUUGCUCGGAAUCACUGGGCGUAAAGGGUGCGUAGGCGGGUUUUUAAGUCAGGGGCGAAAUCCUGGAGCUCAACUCCAGAACUGCCUUUGAUACUGAAGAUCUUGAGUUCGGGAGAGGUGAGUGGAACUGCGAGUGUAGAGGUGAAAUUCGUAGAUAUUCGCAAGAACACCAGUGGCGAAGGCGGCUCACUGGCCCGAUACUGACGCUGAGGCACGAAAGCGUGGGGAGCAAACAGG
rnacentral:rRNA from 1 species